rnacentral:ncRNA from 1 species
UCAAACACGUUGAAAAGAACAGUAACGCUGGCAACCUUCUAAAGAGACUACCGAGUGGUGAGAUGGUAGGUUGGACGUCAGGGUGAAGAUCAUCUUGGAGUGGCGGUGACGACAACAGUUGCCGAUGGGAGCGCCCAUUACAGCGACGGCUUAUCUUCGGCAACGAACGUAAGCUUGAGGCUUUAUUUUGAGAAGCAAAUAAUAGGUGGUACCGCGGAAACGCCCUAUGG